rnacentral:lncRNA from 1 species
GGGGGUCUGUUUCUUAGGGGGGGUGGGGUAGGUUUGUGGGAAGCGAGCCAAAGGACAUUGCCACUGAGAUGAUGACACGUGGAGGUCUGGAUGGUUGUCCCAUUCUCUCUCUUCACACUUUUCAUCACACUUCUCUUUGAUUCUUGAAUGAGAAGAAUAGGAGACUGAGAAGAGAGAUUAAACAGAAUCUGUUGAACCAUUCUUGUAAUCUCAUGUUUAUAUAUGUUUCUGUCAUUUCUCUCUCUACAAAUUUUUUAAUUCUAA